rnacentral:rRNA from 1 species
GUGCCAGCAGCCGCGGUAAUACGGAGGGUGCAAGCGUUGUCCGGAAUCACUGGGCGUAAAGGGUGCGCAGGCGAGGCAGCAAGUCGGAGGUGAAAGCCCAUGGCUCAACCACGGAAGUGCCUUCGAAACUGUUGCUCUUGAGUCCCGGAGAGGUUGCCGGAAUUCGUGGUGUAGCGGUGAAAUGCGUAGAUAUCACGAGGAACACCAGAGGCGAAAGCAGGCAACUGGACGGGUACUGACACUGAGGCACGAAAGCGUGGGGAGCAAACAGGAUUAGAUACCCGAGUAGUCC